AGACUGCAGGUGGAACUUUCCUGUAUCUCCAAGUCUCCGUCGUCAUUAAUAUGACAGCCACCAGACACCAGCCACCAGCUGUCCACUUGUCAUCUCUUUUACCUCCUUACCUACUGCGUAUCAGUUGGAAAUAUGUCAGGGAGUAAUGGAACAAGAAGGAGCAGCUGUUAUGAAGAGCUGCAGGUGACAGGCUGCACUUUCAACUUCUCAGCGAGUAGCAUGCUGGACCGGGCGGGAGAGCAGAGUGAGACUGGAAGAGACGCACACUCAAGCAGAUGGCAGAGAAGAAAACUGUGAGUGGCUGUAUUGUGUGUAGAACAAAUAAAGAACCCUGAUAAACGGG